UGUUGGGACUUAGAGUUGAUCAGGCUCAGGAUGAACGCUGGCUCGGCUAAUACAUGCAAGUGAGCUGACAGAAGGGAGCUUGCUCCCGGAUGUAGAGCGGACGUGUGAGUAACACGUGCGUAACCUGCCUGUAAGCUGGGAUAACUCCGGGAAACCGAGCUAAUACCGGUAGUCCUUGAACCGCAUGGUCAAGGAUGAAAGACGGUUUCGGCUGUCACUUACAGAGGACCCGCGGCGCAUUAGUAGUUGGUGGGGUAAUGGCUCACCAAGGCGACGAUGGGUAGCCGAAGAGGGUGAUCGGCCACACUGGGACUGAGACACGGCCCAGACUCCUACGGAGGCAGCAGUAGGGAAUCUUCCGCAAUGGACAAAGUUUGACGGAGCAACGCCGGGAGUGAUGAAGGUUUCGGAUCGUAAAGCUCUGUUGUUAGGGAAGAACAAGUGCGAGAGUAACUCUCGCACCUUGACGGUACUAACCAGAAAGCCACGGCUAAUACGUGCCAGCAGCCGCGGUAAUACGUAGGUGGCAAGGUUGUCCGGAAUUAUUGGGCGUAAAGGGCUCGCAGGCGGUUUCUUAAGUCUGAUGUGAAAGCCCCCGGUCAACCGGGGAGGGUCAUUGGAAACUGGGAAACUUGAGUGCAGAAGAGGAGAGUGGAAUUCCACGUGUAGCGGUGAAAUGCGUAGAGAUGUGGAGGAACACCAGUGGCGAAGGCGACU
rnacentral:rRNA from 1 species